rnacentral:rRNA from 1 species
AUUGAACGCUGGCGGCAUGCCUUACACAUGCAAGUCGAACGGUAACGCGGGGCAACCUGGCGACGAGUGGCGAACGGGUGAGUAAUAUAUCGGAACGUGCCCAGUAGUGGGGGAUAGCCCGGCGAAAGCCGGAUUAAUACCGCAUACGACCUACGGGUGAAAGGGGGGGAUCGCAAGACCUCUCGCUAUUGGAGCGGCCGAUAUCAGAUUAGGUAGUUGGUGGGGUAAAAGCCCACCAAGCCAACGAUCUGUAGCUGGUCUGAGAGGACGACCAGCCACACUGGACUGAGACACGGCCCAGACUCCUACGGGAGGCAGCAGUGGGGAAUUUUGGACAAUGGGCGAAAGCCUGAUCCAGCCAUGCCGCGUGCGGGAAGAAGGCCUUCGGGUUGUAAACCGCUUUUGUCAGGGAAGAAAUCCUUUGAGCUAAUACCUCGGGGGGAUGACGGUACCUGAAGAAUAAGCACCGGCUAACUACGUGCCAGCCGCCGCAGUAACAC